rnacentral:rRNA from 1 species
AACGCUGGCGGUGUGCUUAACACAUGCAAGUGGUGCGACGAACCAGAGCUUGCUCUGGGGCAAAGCCGCGAACGGGUGAGUAACACGUGGGUAAUCUACCCCGAUGACCGGGACAACCCGAGGAAACUCGGGCUAAUACCGGAUGUGGUACGGAGACAUAAGUCUCUUUACUAAAGGUAGCUUCGGCUUCCGCAUUGGGAGGGGCCCGCGGCCCAUUAGCUAGUUGGUGGGGUCAAGGCCUACCAAGGCAACGAUGGGUAGCUGGUCUGAGAGGACGAUCAGCCACACUGGGACUGAGACACGGCCCAGACUCCUACGGGAGGCAGCAGUGGGGAAUCUUGCGCAAUGCGCGAAAGCGUGACGCAGCAACACCGCGUGAGGGAAGACGGCCUUAGGGUUGUAAACCUCUUUCAGAUGGGACGAAGGUGAUGCGGUGAAUAGCCGAUGUCAUUGACGGUACCGUCAGAAGAAGCUCCGGCUAACUACGUG